rnacentral:rRNA from 1 species
AUUGAACGCUGGCGGCAUGCUUUACACAUGCAAGUCGAACGGCAGCGCGGGCUUCGGCCUGGCGGCGAGUGGCGAACGGGUGAGUAAUGCAUCGGAACGUGCCCAGUAGUGGGGGAUAGCCCGGCGAAAGCCGGAUUAAUACCGCAUACGACCUGAGGGUGAAAGCGGGGGACCGAAAGGCCUCGCGCUAUUGGAGCGGCCGAUGUCGGAUUAGCUAGUUGGUGGGGUAAAGGCUUACCAAGGCGACGAUCCGUAGCUGGUCUGAGAGGACGACCAGCCACACGGGAACUGGAAAACGGCCAAGACCCCUAGGGGGGGCAGAGGUGGGGAAUUUGGGAAAAGGGGGGCAAACCGGAUCCAGCCAGGCGGGGUGGGGAAAAAAGGCCUUGGGGUGGAAAACCGUUUUUGUUGGGAAAAAAACCCUGGGGGUUAAAACCCCGGGGGGAGAACGGUACCGGAAAAAAAAACACCGGUAAACUAGGU